CUGAAAUGUCAUUUUAGUCUACGUAGAUGAUGACGCCACAGCUUGUAAGUGCAAGCCUUAAAGUGUAUUUAUAGCACCUGCCACCACUAACACAUGGCUCCCACGGUGCCUGUGUCUCGUAUGAUUCCAGAACCUGGCUCGGUCCAGCGCCCACUGUCGCUGGGUCAAAGGUCGGGUGCGUCCCAACUCUGAGCGAUGCAGCUUCAGAGCAAACCCACACAGGAACAAGGGAACCCCUGCAGCCGGUGGUCGACCUGGAGGCGCAGCAGAGGCUGAGGCGCGAGGGGGAUUCUAACCACCAACCACUUAUCUGAUUAUCGCACGUUAGAGCGAUGAUGGAACUUUCUCUCUAUGGCUUUAAUGUUUGCGUCUAGAAUUUAAGACGUAGUCACUCAGGCUUUUACCACAUUACAGGCAGAGGAGCUGAAUGUGAUAAUAAUGACAGUUUCACGGGAUUUGUUUAACUUGAAUCCUUUUACUGAUCUCAGUGUAGAAUUAGUCUUUCUAGACUGACUCUGCCACAUCACUUCACUUUGGCGCCAGUGACUAAUGACGGAGGCUCUAACUGUGUGAUUUACUGUAAACCUCUGGAUGUUAGUUCGUGUUCAGGCUCCUUGUGCCUCCUGGAUCCGAGGUGAGAUAUGAAACCAUCUAUCUCCCUGCAACCGCCCGUGGGCCUGUGUGUGGUGUAAUGCGUGCACGCUCCUGAUGAAGCCACGAUGAAGCCACAAACAAACAGGCGACAACAAACAAGGAAGCGUGCAAACACACGCACGCACGCGCGCUGCAGGAACAUGGACACGUGCGCGUGCGUGCGUGUGUUUGCACGCUUCCUUGUUUGUUGUCGCCUGUUUGUUUGUGGCUUCAUCGUGAAUAAUUUGGUUUCUCAGGUUCAUGCAGGAAGUGUAGAAAUCUGAUUUGCAGGCGUCACACGCUGCUUCUGGCUCCUCUCAGCCUCACUUUGCCGCUGAAGGCAGAUGGUGCUGGCCGGAGCGCAUCCAGCUGCUGCCGACAUGGCGGCCUGGCCCGCGUGGAUGCUGCUGCUGCUGCUGCUGCUGUGUGUGAGUGAGCGAGGGCUCGCGCGCUGCUCAGUUCAACCCAUCGCGCCGCCAAAGCUCAGCAAAGUGUCCUGUCCACCCAUCAAAGCCCAAAGCCAGAUGUUCAGUUUCCUGCUGCUCCUCAACGACAGCUACGUCACUAAAAUACACCUGAGUAAGCAGUCGGACUCCGCAGGGAGUCUGGUCUCUGGACACUUUGAGGUCACGUCCAGCGGCGCCUACGUCUGCAGGUCGGAGGGCAUUUAUCCUCCACCGUUCACGGAGGACUGUCGGUCCACGGCCGUCACCGAGGGCGGCCCUGAAGCCACAGAGGAGGGAACGCAGCCUCUUCCAGCAACCAGUGGCACCGUGGCCUCGGCCCGGCUCCACUGCCCCCCCCCCGGGCUGGUACCAGAGGUGGCGAUGUGGGCGGCGUGUGCUCUGUUACUGCUCUACAGCGUGUCGGUCUCCUGCAUCGCCGCCGUUCUAUGGAGAAAGAGACGAGUGGAGGACUGUGCCGUGUACAUGAACACCCGACGUGCAGAUCCCAAGAGGCCAGCGAAGCCUUAACACGCAUUUAUUACAUGUACAGGACACAGAGCGGCUCCGGGACCUUUCAGUACAAACAUCAGGACCAGAGUGUGGAAAUCAGAGGUGUCUCUGAGCUAUGGAGGUUUAUGAGACUCAAAAUUCAGCUGGCAAUACAUUUGUUAGGUGGCUAUUCAAUAUGCAAUAUCAUUCAUUCAUUCAUUCAUUCAUUCAUUCAUUCAUUCAUUCAUUCAUUCAUUCAUUCAUUCAUUCAUUUAAUUUGAAAAUGCAUUUUACAUUAUGUAAUUCAAUAUUAAAAGUGACAAUUCAACACCCAGUUUUAUUAAUAAAAAAGUUUAAAUUAAAACUUCA
rnacentral:lncRNA from 1 species